UUUGUUAUAUGUUUUUCCUUUUUAUUACUUACAUUGAUUGUUUGUAUCAAAUACCUAUAAAUUCUUUAAACGUAAAUAUGCAUUUUCUUGUGAUGAGAAAAAUAUUAAUAAAAGGAUUGUUCGAAAUCAAGUUGUUGAAAACGAUGAACAAAAUAGUAAUGAAAAAAUAUUUUUUAAACGUAAAUCUACAUUCUUUCAAGUCAAGUAUGAAUCAUUCAAAAAUCAAUAACAAAAUAUUCGAUUUGUCCAAGGUUUGAUUGUGCCACCAACUCAAAAAUGUUUGUGUCCGCCCUUGGUUUUACCGGCUGCUUUCGGGGCAUUGUUUCUUAGGAUUCCUUCGCUUUGAUGCUAUUCAGAACCGUGACUUUCAUGAUCGGGUUCGUUUUGAUGUCUUGGUCAUAUAGUUUUCCUUUUCUACUUUGUAUGCUUUUGAAUUUGUUUGAAUUUGGUCGUGCCAUCCUCUGGCCUGCCUCUGAAUUUACUAGAAAUUUGAUUUUAAUCUCCAUCAAAUAGGGACAAAAUCACAAUAAAUAUGAACUUAUUCAUUUUCCCUUAAGCACUCCCGCGACUCUCUCCCUCACGCCUUUUAUCAAGACCUUAACUCUUCCAAUUUUUUUAAAAUUUGUCUAUAGUUUCUCUACAAAUUAUAACAUUUACUACAAAUCUUCACUUUCGAAUCAUAUUUUGAACCUAAAUUUGCAUUUUCUUCAAUCAAAUUCUGAAAUGAUUAUA
rnacentral:lncRNA from 1 species